CAUCCUGAGAAUCCCUUGGAAACUUGGGAGUGCCUUCGGGAGCGCAGUGACAGGUGGUGCAUGGCUGUCGUCAGCUCGUGUCGUGAGAUGUUGGGUUAAGUCCCGCAACGAGCGCAACCCACGUCUUUAGUUGCCAGCAUUAAGUUGGGCACUCUAGAGAGACUGCCGGUGAUAAACCGGAGGAAGGUGUGGAUGACGUCAAGUCAUCAUGCCCCUUACAUCCUGGGCUACACACGUACUACAAUGCUACGGACAAAGGGCAGCAAACUGUGCGAGAGCUAGCAAAUCCCAUAAACCGUGGCUCAGUUCAGAUCGUAGGCUGCAACUCGCCUACGUGAAGGAGGAAUCGCUAGUAAUCGCAGGUCAGCAUACUGC
rnacentral:rRNA from 1 species